AACGCACGAGACCUGCGGACCUGCGGAGGGAUCAUUACGAAAUUCUCGGGGGGCGCGACCUGUCAUGGCCUGCGCCCCCGCUGGAAGCGCCGGAAGGCGUCUGACAGCGCAACCCUUUGUGAAAUUCCCCCGUUGCUUCGGCAGCCCCUCCCAAGGAGCGGUAAGCCUGCCGGCGGCAUUGUGGAAACUCAUCCUGAAAACCUGCACCCUCUGUCUGAACAGCGCAGUCGAAUGACUAUA
rnacentral:misc_RNA from 1 species